AUUAGCAUCUUUGGUUGUGCGAUCUAUGCUAAGCAAGGUACGUUGCUGCAUCUUGGGUUGUGCAUCUAUGUGUUUUUGUGAUGUAAGGUGGUAGUAAAGGUGUGAUGAUGGUGGCAUUGUAUCUCUAAGCAUGUCCAUAUGAUUGGUUGGAGGUAGAGGUGGUGGCAAAGGUGGCAGUGACAUUUCGGUGGCAUCAGUGGCUAGGGAUGUCAAAUGUAACAACCUGGAAUUUUUUUAUGGCUUAAAAUUAAUGUUGACUAUUUAGCAAAUGAAAUAGUCCACGUCAAUUUUAUCGUCAC
rnacentral:lncRNA from 1 species